UCAGCGGCCAUGGCUCACGGGCCCAGCCGCUCCGCGGCAUGUGGGAUCUUCCCGGAACGGGGUACGAACCCGUGUCCCCUGUAUCGGCAGGCGGACUCUCAACCACUGCGCCACCAGGGAAGCCCUGACGUUUUUCUUUUUAACGAACAUGGUAUGAUUCAUGUAACCGAUUCUUUUCACUUAAUAUAUUUAUACAUUUUCCAAGUCAACAUAUAAAAAGAUAUCUCUUUCUUAAAAAUAACCAAAUAAUAUUCCAUUGCAAGGAUUUUCCAUUUCAAGCUUAUAGGUGCUACACUGAUGCAGACCCCGAGGCCCCCCAAAAUAUGGCAAUGGUAAAUAUGACCUUCAUAGGGCAAAGUGCCCAAGAUAUAAGAAGAAAAUUACAAAAGUUAGAUGGUACAUUUGGAAUGAACUCUUCGCAACUGGUAGAUGCUGCUUUUAAAGUGUUGAGCAACAGGGAACAAUGACAGAAGGAAGAAGAUGCAAAAUGGAAUGCAGCUUUUCUGGCAGCAGCAUUAGAUUCUCGGAAGGCGAGUAACCUGAAGAGAGGUAAGCCACCACUGGGGAGGGAACAGUGUGCUUACUGUAAGGAGGAAGGGUAUUGGAAAACAGAUUGCCCUAGACAAAAAAAUAAGAAUGAAAACAAUGAAAGAAAGAUGGGGGCCUCUCAUGUGGUAGAAAGCGAGGAACACUCUGAAAAUAAAUGAAGAGGCCUGGGGGCUCGACUUGAGGUGUCCAAUUCCAAUUCCCCCACAGGAGUCCCAGGUAACUUUGACAGUGGGGGACAAGUUGAUUGACUUUCUGAUAGAUAUGGGUGCAACAUACCCUGUGGUAAAUACCAAGGGGGCGCAGAAAACAUCUCAAUCCAUCCUGGUCAAGGGAGUUUCUGGAGAAGUACAAAAUCAUUCUUUCUUACAACCUCUAGAAUGCCAGUUAGGGGACCUCACCCGGAAACACAGUUUCUUAUAUAUGCCAGUAUAUCCAAUCUCUCUUUUGGGCCGAGAUCUCCUUUGGAAAUUAAAUGCUCAAGUAAUUUUUUUGCCAGGACAGCUUGACAUUGGGGUCCCACCAGAGCACACUGUAAGCCUAGAGAUGGCCCUCAUGGACACCCCAGAAAAGGAGACAGAGCUCUGUCCCUCCGAGGCUUCGAAAAGGACUCGAAGCUCAGGUGCAGCGGAGGAAAUUGACAGGAAGCUGAGGCCUAUGGACCACAGACCAGGAAGGGCCUUCGCACCCACCCUGCAUUUCCAAGGAGUGAACUGAGGGUUAUGGGAACCAUGACAACGGCCCUCCAGGAGGAAACCAGUGGUGCUCUGCCCUGUCCUGUCUUUUCUGUCUGCAUCGGGGAGCCUUGGAACUGCAAGCUGGCUGCGUAUCACCUGGGAGGGGUGAGGUUCCUUGGGGGGACACAUCACUGCAUGACCAGCUUCUUCUGGAACCCUUGGGGCCAGCAGAGCUGCCGUCUGUUCUACCCUGGCCUCAGGCACCACCUUUGCCUAAAGAGCACCUGGCACCAAGGAGAAACAUGAUGUCACGAUGUCAUUAGAGCCAGAUAACUCCUCCUGGCCAGCCCUGCCAAGGGUCACGGAGCACAGAAGUUGGACUAGGCCCCAGUCUCUCCCGACUCCAGGGCCACUGUCCUUUGCUUACAGAGAUAUUAGCAAAAAUUAUUUAAAAGCAUUCGAUUUCUAAUAACAUUCUCGCUCCAUACCUAUCUCAAUGACUGCUGGAAACAGGAAGGCACUUCCUCCUUAGGCUCCAAGUCCAGGUGACCUUCCUUAGUGGCCAAUGUUGUUUUUUAAAACCACGAGUCUCAGAGUUGACUCUGGUAGGUUGAGUCCACGGACACGUAGACAUGCUGAUGACAUGUCUCUUGCCCAUGGUAAGAGUCUCUUAAGGGUAAGACACAACAGAAAUCAAAGUUGAAGAAGUGACAGAUGUCCAUAAAGUCCUCUCAGUGGAGGACUUGGUCCAAAUGGAUGAGGUUGGAGUUGGCAUCCUUCUCACAGGGAGACCAGGCUGGGUAUUUUGCUGGGAGCAGGCCUGUCGGAUUCCCUGGCUACCUAGAUGCUUAGCAGCCCUGGGAAAACCCAAGUCCACAGACCAAGGUUUUUCUGUUAGGUCUCGGGGUCCUGGCAGCUUGUCUUCUGCCUGUCCCUGUGUCUGUCUGACCAGUUCCCUGCCCUUAGUUCUUAUUGCAACAGGCCCUCACACCUCCCCCGCUGCCACUCUCCUGACUCCAUGGGUGGAUGCCUCUCUUGUGAGCUUCCCAAGCACUCUGCUUCCUGAGAGCCUACUGCUUCCCCAAAACCCCAGAGCCCUGGAAGUUGCAGGGACCUGGGAAACAAAGCAGAAGGCUUUUCCGGGAUGUGACCCCUGCAGAGUCCCCCACGUGGCCUGGAGUUUCCAUAAUGAUGGUAAGGAGUCUAAGAUUCUAAACUGAAAAGGCAGCUGGUCAAGUGAGACAGUGAUAGGGAAGAGGAAUCUGGGGGGAAAAGAGCUCCGAGGUGAAUUGCGGGGGGCUGGAGGAGGAGUGUGGGGGGGCAGGGCACAGAUCUGAGGUCCAUUUUUUUGUCUCCCACUCUCUGAAAUGACUUUCACACCUUGUUGUCACCCCCCCCAAAACCUCCCAUGCCCUACCUCUCCUCCCUCUCAGCUGCUACACUGCUUCCUGUUUAACCAAGAAAACAGAUAAACCGCCUCUGAUUUUAUCAAUAGGCUGUGGACCCCACCCCCCUUCCUAACCAAGGACAUCCCUCCUGCAACUGACCUCUAUCUACCUGCAUCACUAGGUUUUCCCUCCGUAUGGGAUCCUUGUCAAGCAAAUAAAAUCACUCUAGGAGAGUGAAUUUUUAGAAAUCAACUCUAUUGAGUUAUGAUGUGGAUAUAAAAGGCACCCAUUAUAAGUGCAAAGUUAGAUGAGUUCUGACACGUGUAUUCCCCUGCGUAACUGCCACCACCGCUGUGAAGUCAGAGGUCAUUCCCUUCAACCCCGUGAGGGAUCCCACUGCUGAGGAGUGUUCCCUUGUAUGGAUGCAGCACAAUUUGUUCAUGCCUUUGCCUGUUGGUAUACAAUUGGGCUAUUUCUACUUUUGGGCUAUUAUGAACAAAAAGUGCAGUGAAAAUGUAUAAGUCUGUGUGGAUGCACGUUACUUCUCUUGAGUAAAUAUCUACAGGCAGAAUAGCUGGGCCAUAUGAUAAUCUAUGUUUAGUUUUACUAGAAACUUCCAAACUUGUUCUCCAAAGUGGCUCUACCAUUUUACAUUUCCAUAGUGGUCCAUGAAAGUUCUAGAUGCUGCAAUUAGUAUUGCCAGUUUUUUCUCCCUAUCUUUAGCCAUUCUAUCGCGUGUAUAGAGGGGUAUGCAUUUUGGUUGUAAUUUGCAUUUUUGUUUUAUGACGAAUCGUGUUGAGCAUCUUUUCAGGUACUCAUUGGCUAUUCAAGUGUCACGCACAUGUAUUGUCUCACAGUUUCCAUGGGUCCUGCAGGCCUGGCUGAGCUGGGCCUUCGGCUCGGGGUCUCACAAGGUGUUGGCCAGGGCUGCAGGUCUUUUUCCAGUCACACAUGGUUGUUGGCAGAAUUCACUUCCUUGCAGUCGUAGAACCCAUGGUGAUUCAGGCCAAAGGGAAAGCUCUGCCGCUGCUUCUAGAGCCUCAUUUAAAAGGCUCACCUGAUUAGGUCAGGCCCACCCAUUGGUAAUCUCCCUUUUGACUGACUCAAAGUCAACUGAUCAGGAACCUUGAUUACAUCUGUCAAUCCCUUCAUAUCAUAUGAUGUAAUCCAAUCACAGGAGUGACAUCCACAAUAUUCACUGGUCCCACACAUACUGUAAGGGAGAUUAUUAUACAUGGGCAUGGGUCAUCUUAGAAUUCUUACCACACCCAUUUUCAAUUGGCUGGUUUGUCUCCUCCUCACUGUGUUAUAUGAGUGCUUUAUAAAUUCCAAAUACAAGUCCUGUACAGAUACAUGUAUUGCAAAUAUUUUUCUCCCAGCCCCUAACUUGCCUUUUCAUUUUCUUAAUGGUGUUUUUGGAAGAACCGAAAUUUUUAAUUUUGACGAAGUCCAAUUUGUCAGCUUUUCCUUUUAUGGUUCACACUUCAUAUUUCCCCACAAGAAAUCUUUGCCUACCUAAAGUUUACACUAUUGUCUCCUAUGUUUUCUUUUAGAAGUUUUAUAGUUUUACAUUUAGUUCUGUGACUCAUUUUAAGUCAACUUUUGUGUAUCAUGUGAGAUAAGAGUUGACAUUCACCUUCUUUUCCCAAAUGGAUAUACCAUUUUACCAGCAUUAUCUGCUGAAAACACCAUCAUGUCCCCCAUUGAAUUACCUUGGCACUUUAAUUGAAAAUCAAUGAAUAUGGGUCUACUUCUAGACUGUUAUUCCAUUGAUUUCUAUUUUUAUACUUAAUCUAUAGUAACCUACUUGAUUACUGUAUAUUUACAUUGUCUUAAAAUUUAGACAGAUUACACCCUUAAGCUUUGUUCUUUUCCAAAAAUUUUCUAUUUUAUGACCUUUUGAUUUCUGUAUAAAAUCUCAGAAUCAGCUUGUCAAAUUCUAAAAAUCAGAAAUAAGCCUGCUGGGAUCUUGAUUGGGAUUGCAUCGAAUAUGUAACUCAGCUUAGAGAGAAAUGCCAUCUAACAAUAUUGAGUCCUCUAAUCCAUAAGCCUGGUAUAUAUCUCCAUUUAUUUUCUCCCAGCUUCGCUUUAUAGUUUACAGCAUGCAUGUUUUUCACAUAUUUCAUUAAAUUUUCCUUUAGUAUAUAUCACCUUUUUAGAUGCUUUUAUAAAUGGUACUUAAAAUUUUCCUUUUCCAGUUGUUCAUUGUUAAUGUAUAGAAGUAUAAUUGAUUAUUGUGAUAUUGACCCUGUAUUUUGUGACUUAGCUAAGUUCACUUAAUAGUCCAGUAGAUUUUUUUUAAGAUUCGUUAGAAUUUUCGAGUACAUGAUCAUAUCAUCUGCAAAUAAAGUUUUGGUCUCUCCUUUCCAAUCUGUAUGCCUUUUUGCGCUAGCUCGGACCUCCAGCACAAUGUUAAAAAACAAACAAACAAAAAAAACAACUGGAGAGACCAGACAUCCUCACCUCAUUCCCAUUAUUAAGGAGG